CAGUUUUUCAACACAUUUGUUUUUCUCUCCCUCUCUUUCAUAGUAAUGCAGUCCUGAAGAAGAUGAGACCUGGUGUCGUGGAAUAUAGGGUUUACACUAAUCAAAUUACUACUAAUGUUGUUGAAGGUAAUAUCAUUCGUAUAUUCAACUUUACUUAUGGGGUUCUUGAAAAAAUUGGUUAAGAAAUUUGUUCGAUCCCUCAAAAUUCAUCGGAUGAAAUCAUAAAACCGGAACAGUUCUUAUUGAAUUGGUUGCUAAUCAAAUCAUGUCGAAACGGUUGAAGCAGUAAGGAAGUUUCUCAGCUCUUACGGAGAUCCUUUCGGAUCUAUGAGUAUUACCAUAUCCUUUGUAAGUUUUGAUCACAUAUUUUACAUCUUUUUAACACAUGAUUUUCAUCAAAUAACUGCGGUACUCAAUUGGGAUUUGAUUCAUCGUCCUGAUCCUUUCUCCAUGAUGUGCAACUCACCUACUUUUCCAAGUUCUUGUAAGAACAUCCAGCAUGAGGAGAUGUUCUAUUAAAGGAUUAAUUGGAAUCUGCAGUUUUUGUAAUGGUUUAAUGGACUGCUAAGACGCUUCAGGGAUGGCCGGUAACACGCAAUUAAUAUUGUUAGCUUUAGCAACUUCACUGCUUUUUGAAAUGGCCAAAUCAUAAAUUCUUCGUUUGUUCACGUGGAUAUUCAUUUUUCUUUUAUGCUGUGAUCAAUUAGGUUUACAGAUUUCAAGGCUCUCUCGAACAUCCAUGCCGUAAAUUCAUAAGUUGUCUCUAGGAUUUUCUGCAACAAUGCUCUCUUUGCUCUUCUGAAACGACCAAAUUCAGGUAAGGUAAUUCGUAAUUGUGCUCCAUUUGUAGUCGCCAAAUUCAGUUUUUUGUGGAUGGAGAAAUUACUGGCAUCAACUCUUUGGUCUGAAUAAGAUGGGUGUCGAAAGACAUGCAUACGAUGAUUUGAUGGUUAUCGUUAUGCCGGCCAGCUGCUGACCAUGUAAAACAAAUUGUUGAAAAUUUCACCCUAUACCAUCAGAUUUGUUUAGUUUUAUGUGCUUUAUUCAAACCCCGUUUAGAAUAAGGUAGGGGUCUUUCUUUUUGUUUGCCAAAUUUAUUGAAUGUGGUUUUUAGAAUUUUAGUAGCGUCUCUGAUUGGGGAGUUCUCAGCAAGUUCUACUUCAGUGCGCAAUGAAUUUCAAGGAUUUUUUCCGGUUAGAUGGAUUCACUUAUACACAUUGCUUUUGUAAGGCAUCUCAAUCCUGCUAAAUUUUACUUAUGUUUUUGUGUUUCAUGGUGAAUUUCCUUAUAAUUAGAUUUUUUGUUAUUGGAUAUGUGUAUUGCGGCUACUGCAGUCACAUUAUUUCAUUGUUAUAAUCUUAGGUUAGCUGUUUCAGUCAUUUUGUUUUGGUUCUUUUCUGAUCCAGACGCUUUUAAUUUUGGUUGUAGCCUCCGAUGGCUUUCAAUGUUCCUGUAACCAUGUUUGCACUUAAGGUUUACAUUUGCCUUUAAGUGUUGCUAGCUCGCCGAUAUCUUAGUUCUUAUUUUUAGCUCGAUAUGUUAGAUUAUCACUCAAUUUAGUUUCAAGCCUGAGUACAAGAUAUAGCUCCCCAUUAAAUUCUGUGUGUCAACUCAUAAUUAUUAUCUUUAUCAUGACAUCACAUUUUUCCAUAGUGAUAUUAAAAAAUUCCGUUUUGUAUAGAAAGGUAGUGGUAUAGAUUUGACGGCUGUUAACUUCCCAGCAUUGUUCAGAUGCUCAUUUUCUGAAUAGGUAAGGACGUAUAAAGUUCCAUUGACUAUGUCGAAUGACGUGCAGCUAAAAAGAAACUCAUUGCUUUGACAUUGGGGCCUCCAAAGUUCGAAUGAAGAACAGUUUGUACUUUGUAGCCAUGCCAGUCUAAGAACAAUUCUAAAAUUUGUAGAAUUAUAGACUUUUUAGGAUGACCAAGUUUAUUAAUCAAGUGAUAACUUCAUUGGAUCUUUCUGUUAGGACAUACAGUUAAGGACUCAGUGGUGCUUCAAUAGUGGACAUCUAUUUUGGAGUCGGAACAUUGUUGCUCGACAGAAUUCCCUGUUGAGCUCAAAACAUGCAUUUCAAGUGUAACUAUGCAUUUAUCUUAAAUGUUGUUGUUACAACUGAAUUGGUUUGUACGUGCGGUUCAUAUAUCAUAUAAUAGUUUAUUUUUUGGUGCAGAUGAUUUUCGAAUUAACGUUAAACAGUUAUUUGGUUGUGAUACCCCCAAAUCCUCAGUAUAAAAUUCAAGAAGAAAUCACAAUUGUCGGUGUUGAACUAUUAAUUUGCUUUGUUACUGUACAUUAUUUUUUAUGUCCCACUAUAACUUCCAUAAGCUUUUGAGAAAUCAAUUACUAAUAACUGAUAUUUUUU